rnacentral:siRNA from 1 species
GCUGUGAAGGUGUCCUGUUG